UCCAUGGUCCAGAGAUCUCCACCAUGGGCCCUGGUAUCCCACCCUCCGGGUCCAUUCAGCACAGAUGCAGCUCACUCUCUGGCUCCUUACAAAAAUGGGAUUUCAUUAUACCCUGUCCUUUGGAUCUGCUUAAAGAACAAAAGUCACUAUAGAUUGUGAACAUAAUUCCACUGGAACACAGCCAUCAAUCUCCUUUUUUUUUUCCUUUCUUUCUGGGAAGACACUUCUAAUCCAAGAGGAAUUCUGGACUCUGAAUAUGGAAAUGAGAUGUGAGUUCAGUGCCUCUGUGCUGGGAACACAGAUCAUCUUCCACACACUGACCCCACGAGCCAGUGGCGCUAGGGCAUGGGCUAUGCCAACCCGGCAGCCUGGCCAUCUAAUUCUAAAUUUAGAGGUGACAUGGGCCAUUUGAACAGGAUGCCAAGGGAAGUGCAGAGGAGCUGGCACAUCCCCGAGCUGGCAGAGAUGCUGGGGAAGUGGGGACGAAGUGGUUGGCUGGGACAGAGAGCUGUACCUAUUCCUGGCCCCUCCAUCUAACCAAGACUGUCACCAGAACAUGGUCAGAGACAUCAGCACUGCUCCCUUGAAAUGCAAUAACCACCCCUGGAAUGCUUGGCUCCCCAAAAUAGAAUCUAUGGAAACAACACGGCAAGGGACAGCGUGUCAGAGACCCCAGAAAGGACGCACAUCACUCUGAAACUUCAAGAGUGGCUUCCUUGACUGUUCUUAAAGGAGAUUCUUGGAGGCCUCUGCAGGACUGGUCAGAAGUACAAUAAGCUCUGUCCUUUAGACAAGGAAACGGGACACUUUGUUCAAGUUGAGCAUCUGGAAAGAGCCCAGAGACCACAAGCUGCUGGAAGUCUUCGCCCAAGCCACUCUCCAUCUGUGCCUCCCCUGCCUGUAGCACCUCAGUUCUGGUGCUUCUCACCCUCAGGACUUCUGCCUCCUAAUUCUGAGUUUGCAGAAUGAAGACCACAUGUCACUGCAGUCUGCCAUCUUCAGCCCUAGGACCAACUCACUGCAGACAGAUCUUGAUCCCAUAAAGAGUUUUGUGCUGCAGGCCUCAGGAAGCACGAUGCAUCUUGGGUCUGCCUGGGUCAAGGCAACACACAUGAGCUGCAAUCUUGGGCCGCUAUGACAAAGCACCAUGGAUCAGGCAGCUUAAACAGGACAUUUGUUUCUCACCAUCCUGGGAGCCAGAAGGAAGUAGAAUUGCCAGCAGGUUCGUUCCAUGAGGACCUGCAAUGCCACCUUGUCACUGUGUCUUUGCAUGGCAGAAGCAGCUCUGGUCCCUAUAUCCCCUUAUAUGGCCACUAACCCUGUCAAAGGGCCCCAUCCUCAUGACCUCCAAAAGGUUUCAUCUCCAAAUGUCACAUUGGGGGUCAGGGCUUCAACAUAUGGAAUUGGGGGAAGGGCACAAUUCAGCCCAUAGCAAUUACCUUCUGCUAAAUACACCAUUUCCACAUCCAUUUUUGGUCUUUAGUCAAUCCCAUAGGGGUCCAGUCCUGUCUGUUCCUAGACAGUCAAUUUCCCUGGCAGGUUACUCAUCAAUCCAUCACUACUGCACACACAACACAGUAUCCAGGGGCCCAUUCUGGAGUUCUAACCCCCCAGGACCUCAGAAUGGGACCUAACUUAGAAACACAAUCCCUACGGGUGUCAUUAAUUAAACAAGGUCAUACUGGAGGAGAAGGAACCUAAUUCAAUAUGUCCCAUGUUGUUACAAUGGGGAUACACACAUAGGGAGACGGUCUUGUGAAUAAGCACAGGAGAAGAUGGCCAUCACUGAGUUGAGGGCAGAGGCCAGGAACAAAGCCUCCCUUACAACCCUCAGGAGGGUCAAACCGGCCCAUACUUUGAUCUCAGUCUUCCAGCCUCCAGAACUAUACCACCAAGUUUGUGGUAUUCUGUUACAGCAGCACUAGAAAACUGAUACAUGGUUUCCUGUAUAGUUGCUCAUUUAAUUCUCACAACAACCUGUAACAUUUAUUAUCAUUGCUCCCAUUUUCCUCUUUUGUGGGUAAGAAGGCAACUGAGGCACAGAGAGGCUAAGGAACUUGUGUGAGAGUCCACAGCUACUAAGUGGUAGUAGGUGGAUUCAAAACCAAGCAAUCUGGCUCCAAAGUCCUUGCUCCAGCUACUGCCUUGAAUGGCUUCUCACAUUUGUAAAGCAUUAAGCUACCACAUGUUCUUUCAGGUCUCUGUUAUGGUUUAGAUGUGCUGUCUCCCAGAAACUCACAUAUGAGAAAAUGCAAGAAGGUUUGGAGGAGAUUGCAUUAGAAGCUUAACCUAAUCAGUGAAAUAAUCCCUGAUGGGAUUAAUUGAAUGAUAAAUGGGAGCAGGUAGGGUGUGGCUGGAGGAGGUGGUUCAUUGGGGGCGUGGCUAUGGGAUAUAUAUUUUGUAUCUGGCAAGUGGAAUCUGUUUUCUGAUCACCAUGUGAGCUGCUUCCCUCUGCCACGAUGUUCAGCCUCACCUUGAGCCCUGAGGAGUGGAUUCUGUGGCUAUGGGUUGAGACCUCUGAAACUGUGAGCCCUUAAAUAAACUUUUCCUCCCCUACAGUUGUUCUGGUUGGGUCCUUUUAGUCACAGCAGCAAAAGAAGCUAAAACCCCGUCCCAUGUCAUGGUCCCAUUGUCUCUUUCUGCACCCACCCCCUGCUCCAUGGAGGACAUGGCCUCCUCGUGUGCUUUCUGGUAGAAUGAGUCCUCUUCUGUUUCAAAGAUGACUGAGCUACCUCCUUUAUAUUCUAGAUUGUGUUUACUGCCUCCCAUAAUCCAGCUGCCAUUCCAACCAGGACUGCUCUGAACCUACAAAUUAAUUGGGGGAAAAACAAUACAGUGGCAUGGUCUCACUCCAGCAAGACCUCCUUUCAUUCAGGUAUCUCAUGUCCUCAGGCAGGUCUGAAACUGUCUCCUCAGCUCCCCACCCCAUAACCUUUCCUAAACAAACCUACUUCCAGUGAUGGCAGCUUGGUGCCCCCUGAGUGCUCCCCACUCCUGCCUCUACCUCCCCUCACUCUCCUAGACCCUGGGCUGCCAUGCCGCUGUUCUUUCUAACAGGGGUCUGAUACCUGCGUUGUGAUGGGGAGGAGCAAUUGAUUUUCUUAUUGACAGAUUAAAAACUGCCUGUAGCUAUGGAUCUCUUGAGCUUCCUAACCCUGAUUUCUAUAAAUUGGGAUUGCACGAAUCCUGCUCAACACUCAUAAUAAACUUGAG